rnacentral:rRNA from 1 species
CUUGAAAUACCACCCUUUAAUGUUUGAUGUUCUAACGUUGACCCGUGAUCCGGGUUGCGGACAGUGUCUGGUGGGUAGUUUGACUGGGGCGGUCUCCUCCUAAAGAGUAACGGAGGAGCACGAAGGUUGGCUAAUCCUGGUCGGACAUCAGGAGGUUAGUGCAAUGGCAUAAGCCAGCUUGACUGCGAGCGUGACGGCGCGAGCAGGUGCGAAAGCAGGUCAUAGUGAUCCGGUGGUUCUGAAUGGAAGGGCCAUCGCUCAACGGAUAAAAGGUACUCCGGGGAUAACAGGCUGAUACCGCCCAAGAGUUCAUAUCGACGGCGGUGUUUGGCACCUCGAUGUCGGCUCAUCACAUCCUGGGGCUGAAGUAGGUCCCAAGGGUAUGGCUGUUCGCCAUUUAAAGUGGUACGCGAGCUGGGUUUAGAACGUCGUGAGACAGUUCGGUCCCUA